rnacentral:rRNA from 1 species
AUUGAACGCUGGCGGCAUGCCUUACACAUGCAAGUCGAACGGCAGCACGGGUGCUUGCACCUGGUGGCGAGUGGCGAACGGGUGAGUAAUACAUCGGAACGUACCUUAUCGUGGGGGAUAACGCAGCGAAAGCUGUGCUAAUACCGCAUACGCCCUGAGGGGGAAAGCGGGGGAUCGCAAGACCUCGCGCGAUUAGAGCGGCCGAUGCCUGAUUAGCUUGUUGGUGGGGUAAAAGCCCACCAAGGCGACGAUCAGUAGCUGGUCUGAGAGGACAAUCAGCCACACUGGGACUGAGACACGGCCCAGACUCCUACGGGAGGCAGCAGUGGGGAAUUUUGGACAAUGGGGGCAACCCUGAUCCAGCAAUGCCGCGUGAGUGAAGAAGGCCUUCGGGUUGUAAAGCUCUUUUGUCAGGGAAGAAACACCGGCUCUAACACAGUCUGGGAAUGACGGUACCUGAAGAAUAAGCACCGGCUAACUACGUGCCAGCCGCCGCGGUAAUAC